rnacentral:lncRNA from 1 species
UGUCUGCCUUUACCACAAUUCUUAAAUAAAAGGAAACCGAGGCCCAGAGAGGUGGGCUGUCUCACCAGACAGACGGGGAGCAGUAGGACUGAACUGAGGCCCAGGACUCCAGUACCCAAGCUCUUAGCUGUGGAUGCUGUGUUGGUUACUGUCCUUGCUGUAACCAAGUGCUGAGCAGAAAACAACUUGAAAGAGGAACUGUCCAUCAGAGUGGAGCAGGCCAGGCGGCUUGCUCACAAAUCAGGAAGCGGAGAAAAACGAACACUUAGCUUCAUUCUCCAUGGGAUGGUACCUCCCGAUUCAGGGAGGGUUGGGCCUCUCUAGAAAUGACUCCCCCAGACUCACUCAGGGAUGCGUUUCCUAGGCGAUUCUAAAUCCAGAGAAAUUGACAAAGAAGAUUAGUUCAACCCCUGUCAACCGGACACUGUACAUGUAUGGCUUUAAAUGAACAUCCUGCCCCUCGUGGACAUCUCAACGCCAAAUGUGUAGUAGAGCUGAUCUCUAAAAGUUCCCAAAGUCUUAACAGUACCAACAUUGUUCAGAAGUUCAAGUUCAAAGUCUCUUCUAAGACUCUUCAAGGAUGAGCCCCUAUAAAAUAAUCACAUUCCAUCUUUCUGAUACACGACCACACAGAAUCAGUGUGGGAGGGAAUGGAGUCACGACGAGGAAAGCCAGACUAAAGCCUGCAGGACAGGCAGACGGACACCCGACCCUGGAGGCCAGCUCCAGCAUCUGCGACUGAUGGCAUCAUCAAAGGGCUUGAACAGCUGUGUCUCUCCAGCUCUGCCACCUGCAGCAUCAGUCUUUCUGUUUGGCCUUUGGUCCUGGCAUCUCCAGCAUCCGGGGGUCUCCUCUGACUUAACCUUGAUGCUCUCACACGAUAGCUUCUCAGGGUCCUCCAGGGAACCCGAACCCACCAAAUACACUGGCUGGAUUCACUUGCUGUCUGGAACUUUGUCCCAAGCCUCUCUGGCCCUGUACCUCCUCUCUUGUACAUUUGCAUGUCUAUACAGCACCCCGCUGACAACCGGGUGAGGUUUUGUGGCCUGCUGGAGAUGCACUUCUGACCUCUUGUGCCCUAGCUGCACUGGCCUCUCUCUGCUUUGCAGCUGACCCAGGGGUGGGGUGGGGAACAACCCCACAGCUGCUAAGAAACCCCCUCAGCUGCAUUCCUGUCCAAUCUGCAAAUGACUGGUUCACAUUUUCAGUCGGAGCCUUUGAGUCUUGUUCACAGGGCUCUUUCCCUACCCUCCCAGGGCAGGCAGAGUUCGGGGCUUCUCUCCAGCCAUGCUAAUCUUGAUGGCUUACUUGCUUUCUCUGCAGACUCACCCAAUUGACCCAUUUCCCUUAUCUGUCAGUUCUCUCUCACUGCAGAUCGGACAGCAGUGAGCAGUAACCCCAGCACAGACUGAAUACAACUGUUUUGAGAUUUUCUCCACAAAUGAGCCCAUUACCUUUCAUGUUAUCUUCACUCGGGUUCUCAGGACAUGCUCAGAAUGAGCCGGGAUGGGCCAUGGAUGGCCUCUGCCGAAGUUCCCAAUAGAGUUCUUGUUCACCUCUGAAACCCCAUGAGCUGAGUCUUUUUGUCUUGGUUGUCUUUUUUUCUCUCCAAUCCUGCUCUUCCAGAUUUCCAUUGCUGUGGCCCCCUUAAGCUCCUUUCCUUGUAUUCUAGGGCUUUUCUAGCCCGUAGACCCAGGCUCUUCCACCUACCUUCUGCAAACCAGUCCAGCGGCCCAUGGACCACAUGGCGUGGCUCAUCACAGCAAUGGUCCUUGCUCCUGGUACAGAGUUCCUGUAUCAGUUGCCUUUCUUAUGGCUUUAACCAAAUACCGGACAAAAGCAACUUAAAGGAGAAAGUGUUUAUUUUGGCUCACAGUUUUAGGGGAACCAGUCCACCAUGGUGGGGCAGGAGUGAUGGUGGGCAUUUUGCUUACAUCUGUGCAGAAGACAAAGCAGAGAAAAAUGAGAGCUUGGCUUGCUUUCUCCCUUUCCCCUUUUUACUCGGUCUAAGAGCCCAGUCCGUGGGACAGUGAUACCAACACUCACGAGGGUCACAGACACACCCAGGCAGUAGAUCACAUCACCUAGGUGAGUAGCUCUCAACCCUUUGGGAGUUGAAUGAUUCUUAAUGAUUCAUAACAGUAGCAACAUUGCAGUUACGAAGUAGCAAAGAAAAUAAUUUUAUGGUUGGGGUCACCACAAAGGGAGGAACUGCAUUAAAGGGCCGAGAACCCCUGCCCUAGGUGAUUCUAAAUCCAGGUAACAAAGAAGAUCAACCUCACACCUGUCCAUGGACUGAAGGGAGGCUGCCUGGAGGAGCUGGCCUAUGGUCCACAGAUGAGUGCAGCAACUUGGAUGCUAAGUGAUGGGAGGGGGGCUCUUUUAGGGCCUGUGUACCAACAGGGGUGACUCAUAUAGGAGGGACAUCAUGUGAAGUGACUCACCCAGAGAGUUGAAGAUUCUACACAAGCACACCAGGGCACCGUUACCAGACUAUGGUAACUAAACUUCCCAAACAGAGAGCUAAAAGAUUCAAACUCUGGUUUUCUUUGGUCCUGGAUCCAUUUUUUUUUUUUUUUAAAUAAAGACAAGGUCUUAACUAUACAGU